UACGGGGGGGGUAAGCGUUGUUCGGAAUUACUGGGCGUAAAGGGCGCGUAGGCGGCCACCGCAAGUCGACUGUGAAAUCUCCGGGCUUAACCCGGAAAGGUCAGCCGAUACUGCGGGGCUAGAGUGCAGAAGGGGCAACUGGAAUUCUCGGUGUAGCGGUGAAAUGCGUAGAUAUCAAGUGGAACACCAGUGGCGAAGGCGAAUCCCUGGAAAAUACCUGACACUGAGGCACGAAAGCUAGGGGAGCAAACAGG
rnacentral:rRNA from 1 species